rnacentral:rRNA from 1 species
AUUGAACGCUGGCGGCAUGCCUUACACAUGCAAGUCGAACGGGCUUUGGGGCUUGCCCCACAGUUAGUGGCGAACGGGUGAGGAAUAUAUCGGAACGUACCCUUGAGUGGGGGAUAACUAAUCGAAAGGUUAGCUAAUACCGCAUACGAUCUACGGAUGAAAGUGGGGGACCGCAAGGCCUCAUGCUCGUGGAGCGGCCGAUAUCUGAUUAGCUAGUUGGUGGGGGAAAGGCCCACCAAGGCGACGAUCAGUAGCUGGACGGGGAGGACGAUUAGCCACACUGGGACUGAGAGACGGCCCAGACUCCUACGGGAGGCAGCAGUGGGGAAUUGUGGACAAUGGGCGAAAGCCUGAUCCAGCAAUGCCGCGUGAGUGAAGAAGGCCUUCGGGUUGUAAAGCUCUUUUGUCAGGGAAGAAACGGUGGGAUCUAAUAUCCUCUGCUAAUGACGGUACCUGAAGAAUAAGCACCGGCUAACUACGUGCCAGCCGCCGCCGUAA